GACGAACGCUGGCGGCGUGCUUAACACAUGCAAGUCGAACGGUGAAGCGCCUUCCUUUUUGGUGGGUGUGGAUGAGUGGCGAACGGGUGAUUAACACGUGAGUAACCUGCCCCCUUCUUCUGGAUAACCGCAUGAAAGUGUGGCUAAUACGGGAUAUUCUGGGUCUGUCGCAUGAUGGGUCUGGGAAAGAUAUUGUUUCGGUGGGGGAUGGGCUCGCGGCCUAUCAGCUUGUUGGUGGGGUGAUGGCCUACCAAGGCGGUGACGGGUAGCCGGCCUGAGUGGGUGGACGGUCACACUGGGACUGAGACACGGCCCAGACUCCUACGGGAGGCAGCAGUGGGGAAUAUUGCACAAUGGGCGCAAGCCUGAUGCAGCGACGCCGCGUGAGGGAUGGAGGCCUUCGGGUUGUGAACCUCUUUCGCCAGUGAAGCAGGCCUGCCUCGUUUGUGGGUGGGUUGACGGUAGCUGGAUAAGAAGCGCCGGCUAACUACGUG
rnacentral:rRNA from 1 species